AUUGAACGCUGGCGGCAUGCCUUACACAUGCAAGUCGAACGGUAACAGGUCUUCGGAUGCUGACGAGUGGCGAACGGGUGAGUAACACAUCGGAACGUGCCUAGUAGUGGGGGAUAACUACUCGAAAGAGUGGCUAAUACCGCAUGAGAUCUACGGAUGAAAGCAGGGGAUCGCAAGACCUUGUGCUACUAGAGCGGCCGAUGGCAGAUUAGGUAGUUGGUGGGAUAAAAGCUUACCAAGCCGACGAUCUGUAGCUGGUCUGAGAGGACGAUCAGCCACACUGGGGCUGAGACACGGCCCAGAGUCCGACGGGAGGCAGCAGUGGGGAAUUUUGGACAAUGGGCGCAAGCCUGAUCCAGCAAUGCCGCGUGCAGGAUGAAGGCCUUCGGGUUGUAAACUGCUUUUGUACGGAACGAAAAGCCCUGGGUUAAUACCCUGGGGUCAUGACGGUACCGUAAGAAUAAGCACCGGCUAACUACGUGCCAGCAGCCGCGGUAAAAC
rnacentral:rRNA from 1 species